rnacentral:rRNA from 1 species
GAUGAACGCUAGCGGCAGGCCUAAUACAUGCAAGUCGAACGGUGUCUUCGGACAUAGCGGCGCACGGGUGCGUAACACGUAUGCAACCUACCUUACAUUGGGGGAUAGCCUUUCGAAAGGGAGAUUAAUACCGCAUAAGACAGUAGCUGGGCAUCCAGCAGCUGUUAAAGAUUUAUCGAUGUAAGCUGGGCAUGCGUCCAAUUAGCUAGUUGGUGAGGUAACGGCUCACCAAGGCAAUGAUUGGUAGGGGAACUGAGAGGUCAAUCCCCCACACUGGCACUGAUAUACGGGCCAGACUCCUACGGGAGGCAGCAGUAGGGAAUAUUGGGCAAUGGACGCAAGUCUGACCCAGCCAUGCCGCGUGCAGGAUGAAGGCGUUAUGCGUUGUAAACUGCUUUUAUACAGGAAGAAACGACUCUUGCGAGAGGCAUUGACGGUACUGUAUGAAUAAGCACCGGCUAACUCCGUGCCAGCAGCCGCAGUAACAC